rnacentral:rRNA from 1 species
ACCUUCGGGCCUUGCGCUAUCAGAUGAGCCUAGGUCGGAUUAGCUAGUUGGUGAGGUAAUGGCUCACCAAGGCGACGAUCCGUAACUGGUCUGAGAGGAUGAUCAGUCACACUGGAACUGAGACACGGUCCAGACUCCUACGGGAGGCAGCAGUGGGGAAUAUUGGACAAUGGGCGAAAGCCUGAUCCAGCCAAGCCGCGUGUGUGAAGAAGGUCUUCGGAUUUAAAGCAAAUGAGAGUUGGGAGGAAGGGCAGU